GUGUCAGCUACCGAGAAGAGAGAAACUGGUCUUGUUUGCGUGGACACACCUGGAAAAUUCCCUUUGACCCUUUCUUCAGGUCUAAAGAUGGAGAAAAAGGCACAAAACUAAAUUGCAUGAUCCACAGCCAAUGAAGAAACAGUUCACAUUUAACCAGGAUGACAUAAGUAAGAGUUGAGAAAUUGGAACCUACAUUGAUUGACUCCAAAUUAGUACAGUUCUUAUAGCCACUUAUAUGACAAAGGAUUUUUUUUAAUGCUAUACAGUAAAUAAACACUGAUUAAAUAAGCCAAAUCCUUAAAGGAUACACACAGGCAGAAAGGAUAGAAAAAGGAAGAAAAUAGCAAGAAUCCUUAAAAAUAAAACUUAAAAACUAAGAAGAAAAAAAUUUUCAAAUAGUCAAUAAAGUUGGUAAUACCUAGUAUUUGGGUACUCUUGAGCCUGAGAAAGAAAAGGAGAAGAUAAUAUUGGAAAGCAAGGGGAUAUAUAUAGGAGAGUCUUUGAAAAUCCCAUGUGAAUUAUUUUGUGUAGCCUUCUCUGAAAAUAAGACUUGGACAAUUUUCUAGGAGAAUACAAUGUUUUUUAAACCUGGCUUAAGUUAGAUAACCUUAUUAAAAAAGUAGUCUAUCCAUGAAAAAAAUCACCAGGAAAAUCACAAAAAGGAGGGUGGAAUGUUUCCCAACUAUGAAGCUAGCAUAAUGGUCACAACUCUUAAAAUAUGUAUGUAGCAGCAACUGUGUGAGUACAUUAGUCCUCACAUAGUGUGAUCAGAUUUGUACUAUACGUAGUUGCUUCAGCAGUUGCAGUUGUAAUUAGACAAACAUGAAUUAUUCAUCAGCAAAAUAAUAUCUAACAAAAAUAUCUUUAUAUACAAAAUAUUUCACAACAAUACCAAUGCAUAAUACUGGAAAAUAACAGGUACAAAAUAUAUAAUCUUAUUUAAUUUCUAAAUAUCGUAAAAGAAUUUUAAGUUUGAUAAUGAUCUAUAUCAUUCAUACUACUCAGUGGUUAUAGUGCAAGAAAGUAUGAAAAGCAGGCUUGACCUUUUGUCCUUAUAUUUUUUAUAUUUUGAAAAAAAAUUCAAUGUUAGAACAUCUUUUUGUACUGUCAUAUAAAGCACAAGAAGACAGUUUUGAAGAGUAAUGAACCAGGACAAAUUAAAUGGCUGAGAAAAAUACAACUGGUGUAGCAAAGAGUCAUUGAUAUAUUCAAGACAACAAUUUAAGUAAAAUUGAAGAUAAAACAGAUUGCACAGGAUUUAAGGUAAGUGACUAACCAUAAAAGAAAUUGCACAUUUGAAAAAAAAAAUUCAGAAUUCAGCAGAGUGAACAUAGCAUUCCAGAGAGUAAGAAUCCUUUGUGUCUAGGAGACUAGUCUCCCACCUCCACCUGUUUUUCUUAGUGAGAUGAUAAAGCACAA